rnacentral:rRNA from 1 species
GACGAACGCUGGCGGCGUGCUUAACACAUGCAAGUCGAACGGAAAGGCCCUGCUUUUGUGGGGUGCUCGAGUGGCGAACGGGUGAGUAACACGUGAGUAACCUGCCCUUGACUUUGGGAUAACUUCAGGAAACUGGGGCUAAUACCGGAUAGGAGCUCCUGCUGCAUGGUGGGGGUUGGAAAGUUUCGGCGGUUGGGGAUGGACUCGCGGCUUAUCAGCUUGUUGGUGAGGUAGUGGCUUACCAAGGCUUUGACGGGUAGCCGGCCUGAGAGGGUGACCGGCCACAUUGGGACUGGGAUACGGCCCAGACUCCUACGGGAGGCAGCAGUGGGGAAUAUUGCACAAUGGGCGGAAGCCUGAUGCAGCAACGCCGCGUGCGGGAUGACGGCCUUCGGGUUGUAAACCGCUUUCGCCUGUGACGAAGCGUGAGUGACGGUAAUGGGUAAAGAAGCACCGGCUAACUACGUG